UACGUAGGGCGCAAGCGUUGUCCGGAAUUAUUGGGCGUAAAGAGCUCGUAGGCGGCUUGUCACGUCGGGUGUGAAAGCCCGGAGCUUAACCCCGGGUCUGCAUCCGAUACGGGCAGGCUAGAGUGUGGUAGGGGAGAUCGGAAUUCCUGGUGUAGCGGUGAAAUGCGCAGAUAUCAGGAGGAACACCGGUGGCGAAGGCGGAUCUCUGGGCCAUUACUGACGCUGAGGAGCGAAAGCGUGGGGAGCGAACAGG
rnacentral:rRNA from 1 species